rnacentral:misc_RNA from 1 species
UACAUUUUCAAGUCCUCCCAACUCACUCCCAUUCCGAAGGACGCUAAGUUAGUAUACCUUACCAGGCUUCAACGUCCUUAAUUAAGCCCGACCAGGAUAGCAAUCCGUCGAUUAAACCAUACCUUACGUCAGUAAAUAACGCUCAUAGAAUAAAAUACAACACGUCUCCGCACGUAGAGGAGUAGCACAGCAUAUUCGUUGCUUGCUCUUGACAGUGGUGUACGGUUCACAGGCAGCCGCCGAGAGUGAGCGCGGCCUGCAGGUCCAGCCGCCAAAGGUAGCUGCCGGCGGCGUCCAGACGCCACACAUCGCAGGGCGCCACCACGGGGGAACCGACGCGCCGGGCGCUCCAGUGCCGGGCGCGGACGCGGCACGUGAAUCCCGCGCAGGUGCCCCACGCCGGGAGGGCACCGCCGAGCACCACGGGCGCCGCCGCCUCGUCGCCGUCGUCCGCGGAUGCAGCGCGGACAAACGCGGCGUUCCACAACGUGACGCGGCCCCACUGGUCCGACACGAACGCCGGGGCCUCGUCGUGGCCCGUCGCGGAGGCCGGCGCCUCGCCGUCGCGCCACGUCGCGGUCACCUCUUCCACCGUCACCAAGUAAGCUGCAGCAGCAGCGGGGCGCAUCGCGCGCGGAGCCAACGGCCGUGCCGCCGUAGCCACCUGAGACGGCACGAGCUCCGGCCCCACUGUCGCAGGACAAGCAGCGGCCUUAUCCUCCGCCGCCGUCACGGGCAUGAGCGGCAGCGUUGCGAGCUGGCGCUGCUGCGGCCGGGGUGGCGGCGACGAGUCCACGGAUGACGUCCCCGACGAGGACGAGGACGGCGACGAAGACGACUUCUCCUUGUCGCAGUGCUCCCGGCAGUCGCCCACAUCUUGCGCCGCCGCCGUCGCCGCAGGCGCUGCAGUCACCAUCGCAACUUUGGCCGCCUUCUUGGGCUUCCGGCCCCUCCUCCCGCCGCCUCCGCACGCGGCCUUUCGCUUCCCUCUCCCGGCACCGGCGGCUGAUCCGGUCACCGGUGCCGAUGCCGGUGCCGGCGCGGGCGCCAUGGCCGCCGGCUUAGGCGCAAUCGGGCGGAACUUGAGCAUGAUCCUCCCCAUCUGCCAGGCCGCGCCUGCCUGCUGCGCGGCCGCGGUGGCGGCGUACCUCGGCGCGAGGCAGCACCCUCCCUUUCUCUCCAUCCCCUCUCCCGACCGCACACGUCUCAAAAACCAACCAACCCGGUAUGAGUACGAGUACGACACACUUCCUUCUACUUUCUCGCCGCUCGCACGAUGGCACUAUGGCAGUGAGAGAGAUAAGAUACGAC